rnacentral:rRNA from 1 species
AGCUUGCUGGGUACUCGAGUGGCGAACGGGUGAGUAACACGUGGGUGAUCUGCCCUGCACUCUGGGAUAAGCCUGGGAAACUGGGUCUAAUACCGGAUAUGACCAACUGUCGCAUGGUGGUUGGUGGAAAGCUUUUGCGGUGUGGGAUGGGCCCGCGGCCUAUCAGCUUGUUGGUGGGGUAAUGGCCUACCAAGGCGACGACGGGUAGCCGACCUGAGAGGGUGAUCGGCCACACUGGGACUGAGACACGGCCCAGACUCCUACGGGAGGCAGCAGUGGGGAAUAUUGCACAAUGGGCGCAAGCCUGAUGCAGCGACGCCGCGUGAGGGAUGACGGCCUUCGGGUUGUAAACCUCUUUCACCAGGGACGAAGCGUGAGUGACGGUACCUGGAGAAGAAGCACCGGCCAACUACGUGCCAGCAGCCGCGGUAAUACGUAGGGUGCGAGCGUUGUCCGGAAUUACUGGGCGUAAAGAGCUCGUAGGCGGUUUGUCGCGUCGUCUGUGAAAUUCUGCAACUCAAUUGCAGGCGUGCAGGCGAUACGGGCAGACUUGAGUACUACAGGGGAGACUGGAAUUCCUGGUGUAGCGGUGAAAUGCGCAGAUAUCAGGAGGAACACCGGUGGCGAAGGCGGGUCUCUGGGUAGUAACUGACGCUAGGACGAAG